GGGGAUUUGAUUUACAGGGACUG
rnacentral:piRNA from 1 species